rnacentral:rRNA from 1 species
GAACGCUUGGCGGGGGCGCUUAACACUGCAAGUCGAGCGGGCAAGUAUAGCUUGCUAUACUACCUAGCGGCGGACGGGUGAGUAAUGCUUAGGAAUCUGCCUAUUAGUGGGGGACAACAUUCCGAAAGGAAUGCUAAUACCGCAUACGCCCUACGGGGGAAAGCAGGGGAUCUUCGGACCUUGCGCUAAUAGAUGAGCCUAAGUCAGAUUAGCUAGUUGGUGGGGUAAAGGCCUACCAAGGCGACGAUCUGUAGCGGGUCUGAGAGGAUGAUCCGCCACACUGGGACUGAGACACGGCCCAGACUCCUACGGGAGGCAGCAGUGGGGAAUAUUGGACAAUGGGCGAAAGCCUGAUCCAGCCAUGCCGCGUGUGUGAAGAAGGCCUUUUGGUUGUAAAGCACUUUAAGCGAGGAGGAGGCUACUGGUAUUAAUACUACCGGAUAGUGGACGUUACUCGCAGAAUAUGCACCGGCUAACUCUGUGCCAGCAGCCGCGGUAAUACAGAGGGUGCGAGCGUUAAUCGGAUUUACUGGGCGUAAAGCGUGCGUAGGCGGCUUCUAAGGUCGGAUGUGAAAUCCCUGAGCUUAACUUAGGAAUUGC